UAAACAGGUACAGGUCCCGUACCGUAUUGUACAGGUACCGGUCAUAGGGAGGUACAGGUACUGAGCUAGGCAAAAACCCGUACCGUCCCGUCCCAUAUGCAGCCCUAGAUGAAUAUGGUAUUGCCUUGCUUAUUGAAAAUUUUUACUAUGAUGGGUACAAAUAAACACGAGUUGCAGCGAUGCUGGUAUGCUGAUUGACAAAAGCAAACAGAAGGUUGGAAUUUUCAGCGACUUAAUUUACAUAGGCAAGCCUGGUGACACUUGUAUGAUUGGUGAUUAUUUCAAAUGCGGUACUGUUUCCUGGGUGGAUUCCAGCACUGGUGCUAUCUGUGGUGGUUACUUUUUGGCAACCUUGUCGAGCCUCCAAUUUUAAGAUGACUAAGCAUGAUGUGUUCUUAUCCGGUAUAUCAAUGUGUGUCUCUGAAUUCAUACAGGAAUUCAUUUCCUCUUUACAACAAUGAUUGUGAAACCUCAAUCUUACCAACACGGCAACAUACAGGGAAAUUUGAAGGAGCUAAAGGAGAAAGGAUCUAAGUAGUCAACCAGGAGCAGGGAGAAGCACUUGCUGCACUGGAAUCCAUCAAAUGGGCUAAUGAGCAAGGAAUACGGAAUUUGAUUUUCGAGGAUGAUAAUAAAAAUGUAUUUAUUAUGAUAACUUAAACGACAUCAGCUGGACCACAAACUAUGUGGUUCAGGAUUGUCUUUUCCUGUUAAAAACCUUUGAAAAUUGGCCUCAUGUUCUUGUUAAAAGGGAGAUAAACUCUGUAGCUAUACCUUGGCUAAAUUUCCUUACUGGAGAUUUAGAAAAAGACCCAUGUAUGUAAACUCUCUUCUUUGGAAUAAAAUUCUAUUAUCUAAAACAAAAAAUUUGCGUCUCUGAAA